AUACGUAGGGGGCGAGCGUUGUCCGGAACUAUUGGGCGUAAAGGGCGCGUAGACGGCCGGAUAAGUUACUUGUGAAAGCCCGCCUUUCAAGGGCGGAACUGCAAGUAAUACUGUCUGGCUUGAGUGCAGGAGAGGAAAGCGGAAUUCCUAGUGUAGCGGUGAAAUGCGUAGAUAUUAGGAGGAACACCAGUGGCGAAGGCGACUUACUGGACUGUAACUGACGCUGAGUCACGAAAGCGUGGGUAGC
rnacentral:rRNA from 1 species